UAGUUGGCACACAGUAAAAGCUAACGAAGGAAAAAAGAGACCUGCAGUCGCAGAAAUCUCCGAUCAAAAAAGAGUUCCUCGGAUACAGUGGCGCACUACUAGGGUUUCGAAUGCAGGUACUUCCGGCCAGUUUCCUCCCGACGCAGCAACACCACCGUCGCUAGGUUUUGGUGAAAAGAAGGAACAUACAAAGAAGGAGAAGUAGACGACGAUGACGUUGAUGAAUAGAUCGCCGUACGUCUCUCUCUUGUUCAAAGCCCUCGCCUUCACCCCUCACCGUCGACCAGCCGAUGCUGCCGUUUUUCUCUCAACCCAUUUUUAUUCCGCCGCCUCCGGGGCUCUACAGAGCAGCCUCAUGGCUGAAUACCUGGUCAGCUCCUGUGGCUUCGAUCCGGAUGAGGCGGCCAAGGCCUCGAAGCUCCUUGGCCGCAUCGAAUCCCGCCACCAGCCUGACUCCGUCCUUGGCUUAUUUAAAAGCUACGGUUUUGAUAACACCCAGGUGAAAAUGGUCAUAUCUGCAAACCCCCGGUGGCUUCUCCUCGACGUGGAGAAGAACCUGGCCCCAAAGUUCCGAGCUUUGCAGGAUCUGGGCUUCUCCUGCUCCGACAUCGCCCACCUCGUCAGAUCGAAUAACCGCGCCAUCAGCCACAAAACCCAGACCAUCUUGUCCAAGAUCCAAUUUUGGCAAGGCACCCUCGGGUCCAAAGACUUACUGAUGAAGAUAUGCAAGAGAAACAGGUGGUUUCUCGGGUAUAGCAUCGAGAAGAAGAUCCAGCCUAACAUUGAAAUUCUAAGGGAUUGCGGGAUCACGGAUCAGAAGCUCUCAAUGAUCCUACGGCACCGCCCCCUCCUCAUAAUUCGGAAUGCUGAAUACCUGAAGGCGUUAAUCAGUCGUGUCGAGGGUUUGGGAGUAGCUCGCACCUCAGGGAUGUUCCUCCAGACCCUGAGUGUGCUCCACUGCAUCUCCGAGAAGAACUUCAAGGCUCACUUGGAGUACUUCAAGGGUUUCGGGUGGUCCGAGGAUGAUUUCCUUGCUGCAUUCAGAAAGACUCCUACUCUUGUGGCAUGUUCUUUAAAGAGUUUGCAGAGAAAGAUGGAGUUCUUGGUCAAUGAAACCAGAUGCGCUCCGUCUUAUCUUGCACGGCGGCCACGGAUUUUGUUGGUGAGUUUGGAGAAAACGUUGAUUCCAAGAUAUCGGAUAUUGACGGGCCUGAAGUCAAGGGGAGUUCACAUCGGUAACCUCCAAAUGAGCACAUACAUGUUAUAUCCAGAGAAGAAAUUUCUGGAGAAGUUCGUCAUCCGCCACAAGGAGUUUCCAGAACUCAUUGAAUUGUAUAAUGUAGCCCCAAAAACCCAAACUGCUCUUUGAUCCUGCAAGUGCAUAAUGCAUGGUGCAAGGUUUUGAUGCAUCAUUGGCCCUGGAGAAAUGAUAGUCACAGCAUCUUUUGCUGGUUUUGAUGCAUCAUUGGCCCUGGAGAAAUUAUAGUCACAGCAUCUUUUGCUGGUAGGUCCUCUGUCAAAUUAAACAGAAGCACUGGUUAUUCUUGUGACAGAAAUUGGAAUUUUCUGGAUAAUUUUUCAUCUUCGUUGAGUCCUUAGGAUCAACAGACGCCAUAGUGGAUUUGCACCCUAAUACUUGUUGAUCAUCAUAGAAAUGUUUUUCUGUCAAAGGCUUGACUUGUUAUCAGCCAAGAAUUAUAUUAUGUACUUUCUUGCCUGAGAACUAGUUGAUGGAUAAGGCAUCUAGUUGCUGGAUGGAGAUAUUUUUCCAACAAAAGUUGUUGCAGUAGCAAAAAAAACUAAUGCUCUUUGUAAGUUUUGUUAAUUCUAAUGAUCUUUGUAAGUUUUGUUUA